GGGGUUGUGGCUCAGAGGUAGAGCACUUGCCUAGCAUGUGUGAGGCACUGGGUUCGAUUCUCAGCACCA
rfam:Ictidomys tridecemlineatus contig099835, whole genome shotgun sequence.